UUCAUUAUACAUCUGACAGGGCAGUGCAGAACACGCAACUAUGAGAUCCGUAUAUGUUUUGAUUUUUCUCUUCGUUCACGUUACAAGUAAAAACUUUGAUACUGAUAACGAGUUGGAACCAGACGAUGAAGACACCGUUGAUAAUAUUGUCUUAUGUGAUAACUGUAUUACAAAAUGCUGUCCAAAUGGGCAACAUAUUCACGGAUUCAACAAAAAGUGCGUGCGCCCAAAACUUUUCAAACAUCUAAAUUUUUCCGAAGUGCCCCUCUACAAUGAUGACAAAACUAGAUCUGGAAGAAACCUGACGGAUAUCCUUACUCUGGUACCGGAAAGAAUAUUAAACCCGAAAUUCUUUAAGAAGGCUUUCGAUUACAGUGUCAUGCACCAUAAUUAUUACUUGACAGAGGAAGGUAUUCUUUACCAAGAAGUCCCCAACCACUUCAUGAGAUGGUACAGGCAUAACACGUCCAGAUACUGUGUGGAAUACCAACUGCCAAUCAAAGCUAUUGGGAUGGUGAGGCCUGAGGUCAGGUUCUGGACAAUAAUUGAUGGCACUGCAUCUGAAGGCUCUGAUAGUUACAUUACUAUUGGAUUACUAAUAUCAUGUUUCUUCCUGAUACUGGUGCUGGUCGUCUACAGCAUCCUUCCUGAGCUUCGCAAUCUCAGUGGGAUGGUAUUGAUGGCGUAUGUUUCAAGCCUUUUUGGAGCCUUCUUUAUUCUCGCACUGAUACAAGUCAAACGGCAUUCGAACCCCGUCUGCAGUGGUCUGACAUAUACGACGUACUUCAUGUUCCUGGCUAGUUUCUGUUGGAUGAACAUCAUGUCUUGCGAUAUCUGGUGGACUUUCAGAGGCUACGCCAAAGCCCGUCCAAUUCAUAGACGUGGUGAAUGUUUCAAGUUUGUAAUGUACUGCAUAUAUGCAUGGGGAUUGCCAGCAGCACUGACUAUUAUGUUAGUUGCCCUCAACGAAACGGAUAUGAGGAGUAAACCUUGGUUCGUCCAACCCAACAUUGGUCAAUAUGGAUGCUUCUUUGGAGAAUCCGAAAAGCUCCUGUACUUAUAUGUCCCGAUGUUGUUCCUGAUUAUGUGCAAUUGGAUCUUCUUCUUGAUGACCGCGUUUAACAUCUGGAGACUCCACCGGGCCACUGCUGUGUUGGAUUCAGCUGCUGCUGGCACUCCUGCUGCACAUCGAUCACAGAAAUACAGGUUCCUUGUCUACCUGAAGUUGUCUAUCAUCAUGGGGAUCAACUGGGUCUUAGAAGUGGUCAGUUCCUUCCAACCAGACUUCAAGGGCUGGUACUUAACGGAUAUCUACAACACGCUUAUUGGACUCAGCAUCUUCCUUAUCUUCGUUUGCAAAAAGAAAAUUUGGCGGAAACUUAUUAAAAGGUAUUGUCCAGACAUACCAGUCGUCUCCAUAUCUUCGUCUGGGGAUCGUCUUCAAGUGGCUUUAACCAAACCACCUUCCUUGUAUCCUGGGGCCAGCGAGUCGGUUCUCUAAUGGAACGGCAAACUAGGGGUCUUCUCCAUAUUUGGCUCAAACAUCGGCAUAAUCGAGGACUUCUUUCUCAACUUUUGAUUCAUUGCAAACUUUGGGCGAGUAUCGUCGUCCUCGCCAGUACUCCAGCUCCAGCAGAAGGAGCCGCACCAGCAACACCACAGAAUCCGACAUCAGUCAAGAUGUACCAGUGUGCAUCAACCCUAAAGGCCCAGUGAUUCAA
rnacentral:misc_RNA from 1 species